CGUCAGACAGCGUUGGAUCUCAUCUCUCUCGUCGACUUGUCAGAAACCAUGGGAAGCAUUGACCAUCAGACCAGCUUGUUCAGUAUUGGAGUGAAGAGUAAAGAAUGACAUACAGGCGGGCACUGAGCGAGCUUGUCCCCUGCCAUCAUCUGAACGUUGAGGUGUUUGCUUUGGGACUUCCCUCGAGAUUUGAUCAGCCUCUGAAGAACCUGUGGGAUGAGACAAAGAGAGCGGAGCAGGCGAGGACACUUUGACGUAGACAACGAUGGGAGCCAGAGAAGUCUUGAGAAGCUGCGCUGGGUGGUUGAUGGUGUCUGCAUCCAGGACGACCAGCUGAAGAGACUUGGCGAGCUCGAAGAUCCUCUCUAUCUCACUCUGGACCUCCGCUGUGAACACACCAAAGAAAGAGAGGGAGACACGUUCAGCAGAGCAACAUCAAUGAGUUUAUCGCAGAGGAGGCAUCUAUUCUUAGCAGGUAUUAAUCUUUAUUUAGGAAGAAAGGAUCAAAGACUCGCCGCUCACCG